rnacentral:lncRNA from 1 species
CGGACUCUAAAUAAACAAAACGAAAGACUAGAAGACUCAACAACAAUAGACACGAAACGAAAAACAAAACAAAGACACGAAAACAAAGACUGACUCAAAAAAUAAAGAUAAAGGAUAGGCGAAACCUUCUUAGGAAGAUGGCUCUGAGUACCAAAUGAUACGAACCACGCCAACAUCGUGACGAGACCCGGUAUCAAUACUUCGGAUAUCAAAUCC